ensembl:misc_RNA Metazoa_SRP Metazoan signal recognition particle RNA
GCUGGAUGUGGUGGCGUGUGCCUGUAAUCCCAGCUAUUCGGGAGGCUGAGGCAGGAGAAUCGCUUGAACCCAGGAGGUGGAGAUUGCAGUGAGCCGAGAUCACACCACUGCACUCCAGCCUGGGUAACAAAGUGAGACUCUGCCUCAA